rnacentral:lncRNA from 1 species
CAUAGCAGUUUCUUCUCCGGUCUGAGUAAGAGUAAGAGGAGGUGUUGAAUGCGUGGGGGGUUGCUCCUCUCUCAAUCUUUGUUUCUCCUUCAACUCAUUGGCCUUUUUGAUGAUAGCAUCCAUGUCUUCAAUUAUCUGCCGCAGAUAGUCCCAGCAGCUGAGGCUUCUAUGAUAGCAUCCAUGUCUUCAAUUAUCUGCCGCAGAUAGUCAAAGUUGCUGAGGUUAGAUUCACCAUGAAAUUGAUCAACAUCUCCAACUGCAGCUCCAUUUUUCUCUUCAAUAAUCCUUUUUUUCUGUAGAUACAAAGAAAAACUGAAAGCUGCUUCCCGAUCCUCAGUUGAACGAGGAAAGAUUUGAUUGACGAUGUGAGAUUCAAUCAUAUCUUCAGCCGUAUGAGCUGCAGAUGCGAUUAGGCUUUCAAGAUCUUGUGCUUCUUCGCUACCUCCACCAUAAUAAUUAAAGGUCUCUAUGAAAUCAAGCAACAAAGAAGACUUUUCCUCAAGAGAUCGGAUCUGAUUAUUGUUGAAAGAGGUGGAAAGAGGAGGAUGGGUCAUCAUGUGCUGAAUGGUGUUCAAGAGAGAAGCAAGAGCUGCAUAAGCUGCCAUCUCAAAUUAAUCUGCAGAUUGCAAUAUGGAAACUGGUCAACGGUAGUGUUGUUG